rnacentral:tRNA from 1 species
UCACCAAUGGUUUAGUGGUAGAAUAGUAUCCUGCCACAAUACACACCUCGGUUCGAUUCCCAAAUGGUGAA